UUCCCUUUGAAAUGCCUGGCAUUUAUUUUAUUGGCUGUUGUUUGAAAAUAGCACACGGAAGAAAACCCUAAACCACAGAGAGCUAUUUUAACUGCCUUUGAGUGUCUCCUGUCUUCUUUUUCAAAGCUAAGCUCUGACAAGAGCCUCUAAUUCGUUUUACAGUUUAUUGGGCUUAUCAAAGAUAGGGUAACUCCAUAUUUGCAUUCCAGAUUUAUUGCCUACCAAAUGAGCUGACAUUUCGUUUGUUUUCAGACAGGUCUCCAAGUCUUCCCACUUGGAGCACAUAUUUUGGAUAUACUGAAAUAUAUCUAAACCAUACAAACAUUUUUCAAAAAAAAUUGUGUUACAAAAAUAAACCCCCAAAGACUGGCUUAAGAAAAGAAAAUGUAUGAAGAUGUCAACACAUCUUUUGGAACCUGAGAAUGGACCUCAGGAAACACCAGACCAGGAACCUGAAUGAGGCCAGAACUUGUUCUCAGUCUAGCCUCUCUGCUACUAUCUGCACAUCUGAUUUGUUUUUGUCUCUCGUUCUGCAGAACCACAUGACAGGAAACAUAGCUAACAACAUCUCUUGAGCUUUCUGCCUCGCAGCUUCAGCCCCAAGAUAGACACCAAGCUGACUCUCUUUCAGCUUCAAAUCAAAUAUCCCAAGGAAGAGACGCAUCAAUCCAGCUUGGAACAGAUACCAUCUUUGCACAGGUCAACUCUGGAUCAUGUAAGAAAGAGAAGGAAAAACAGGAAGAAAUUCCAGAAGACGAUUAUUGGACCCUAUUCUUGGAUAAGAUGCCUUCAAGUCUCGCCCACCAGCAAAGCUGCAAUAGGAGUUUUGAUUCUUUUGUGAAGGAGAAACCUUCUUUUGCAAGUUUCACGGGAAGAGAUUUAUUUGUUUGCUUUUUGUGUCUUGUUAUUUGCCAUUAACUUGAUCAAUUCAAUUCUCUAAUGGACUUUGUACUCUAAAAACACAUUUCUUGUUCAGGACUUGGGCGAAAAAACACCCUCCACGCACAGGUAUUUUCAAUUUUUUAAAAUCUAUCCUUUAGGUGAGUCU
rnacentral:lncRNA from 1 species